rnacentral:lncRNA from 1 species
AAAAAAGUUUUUUAAAAUGGACCAUUUAGAAUAAAUAAUUAAAAUAAAAUAUUAAUAUUAAAAAAAAACCGAAAAAAAAAAUUAUAUAAAAUUAAAUAAAACGUUAAGAAAAGUGAAAAAUAUUUUUGGGUAAUUUUAUGGACGAAGAAAAUAUUUUAAAUAAGAAAAAGAAAUAUGAAAAUAGAAGGAUUAAUAGUGAUGAACAUGGU